rnacentral:rRNA from 1 species
AUUGAACGCUGGCGGCAUGCCUUACACAUGCAAGUCGAACGGUAACAGGUCUUCGGAUGCUGACGAGUGGCGAACGGGUGAGUAAUACAUCGGAACGUGCCUAGUAGUGGGGGAUAACUACUCGAAAGAGUGGCUAAUACCGCAUGCGAUCUACGGAUGAAAGCAGGGGAUCGCAAGACCUUGUGCUACUAGCGCGGCCGAUGGCAGAUUAGGUAGUUGGUGGGAUAAAAGCUUACCAAGCCGACGAUCUGUAGCUGGUCUGUGUGGACGAUCAGCCACACUGGGACUGAGACACGGCCCAGACUCCUACGGGAGGCAGCAGUGGGGAAUUUUGGACAAUGGGCGAAAGCCUGAUCCAGCAAUGCCGCGUGCAGGAUGAAGGCCUUCGGGUUGUAAACUGCUUUUGUACGGAACGAAAAGCCCCGGGUUAAUACCCUGGGGUCAUGACGGUACCGUAAGAAUAAGCACCGGCUAACUACGUGCCAGCCGCCGCUGUAA